GAAAUGCGAUAAGUAGUGUGAAUUGCAGAAUUCAGUGAAUCAUCGAGUCUUUGAACGCACAUUGCGCCCCCUGGUAUUCCGGGGGGCAUGCCUGUCCGAGCGUCAUUGCUGCCCUCAAGCCCGGCUUGUGUGUUGGGCCCUCGUCCCCCGGCUCCCGGGGGACGGGCCCGAAAGGCAGCGGCGGCACCGCGUCCGGUCCUCGAGCGUAUGGGGCUUCGUCUUCCGCUCCGUAGGCCCGGCCGGCGCCCGCCGACGCAUUUAUUUGCAACUUGUUUUUUUCCAGGUUGACCUCGGAUCAGGUAGGGAUACCCGCUGAACUUAAGC
rnacentral:misc_RNA from 1 species